AACGAACGCUGGCGGCAGGCUUAACACAUGCAAGUCGAACGCACCUUUCGGGGUGAGUGGCAGACGGGUGUGUAACGCGUGGGAAUCUACCCUUCUCUACGGGAUAGCUCCGGGAAACUGGAAUUAAUACCGUAUACGUCCUGAGGGCGAAAGAUUUAUCGGGGAAGGAUGAGCCCGCGUUGGAUUAGCUAGUUGGUGGGGUAAAGGCCUACCAAGGCGACGAUCCAUAGCUGGUCUAAGAGGAUGAUCAGCCACAUUGGGACUGAGACACGGCCCAAACUCCUACGGGAGGCAGAAGUGGGGAAUAUUGGACAAUGGGCGCAAGACUGAUGCAGCCAUGCCGCGUGAGUGAUGAAGGAGCUAGGGUGGUAAAGCUCUUUCAGUGGGGACGAUAAUGACGGUACCCACAGAAGAAGCCCCGGCUAACUUCGUG
rnacentral:rRNA from 1 species